rnacentral:lncRNA from 1 species
UUGCAGAACCGUGAGUAUACUCGCAACCCCAUUUUUUAUGUUUACCACUUUUGGGGUGUAACAUGUUAAUUUAUAAAACCACACAUAACUUAUUCUUGAUGCAAUGCAUGAAAAAAAUCCUUAUACAUGAAUACUAUGUUGUUAUACUUGAUGCUUAUACGUGGAUCAUACUUAUGUGAUAUACUAUAGUCAUUAGCUUUAUACGAGCCUCCAUUUGACAUGUAUAGCACUAUAGGAGUAACGCACCGACCGUAAACUAGUGGUCAUGUUGAAUUAUAUCAUUUUGCGUAAACAGAGGGUUGACUAGAAAUAUUGCAUGCCAUGUUAUGUUGAUCUUGUAUAAACUAAGUUGCCAUGUGGAUUCGUUUUUAUACUUUUAAACUUAUGCUUGUACUUAUUCUUAAACUUGUAUACUCGCCUUUGCUUUUGCAUUGAAUUGUAUUUUAAACAUGUUACAGGUUGAGGAUUGAUGAUGCUAUGAAAUGGAUUAGCAAUGAUGCCUAAAUACUCACUUAGACAUUUAGGUUUAAAGUUAUUUGACAAUUUGGUUAUGAAUGCAAAUGGUUGAAUUAAAUAUUGUC